rnacentral:rRNA from 1 species
GAUGAACGCUGGCGGCGUGCCUAAUACAUGCAAGUCGAGCGAACGGACGAGGAGCUUGCUUCUCUGAUGUUAGCGGCGGACGGGUGAGUAACACGUGGAUAACCUACCUAUAAGACUGGGAUAACUUCGGGAAACCGGAGCUAAUACCGGAUAAUAUAUUGAACCGCAUGGUUCAAUAGUGAAAGACGGUCUUGCUGUCACUUAUAGAUGGAUCCGCGCUGCAUUAGCUAGUUGGUAAGGUAACGGCUUACCAAGGCAACGAUGCGUAGCCGACCUGAGAGGGUGAUCGGCCACACUGGAACUGAGACACGGUCCAGACUCCUACGGGAGGCAGCAGUAGGGAAUCUUCCGCAACGGGCGAAAGCCUGACGGAGCAACGCCGCGUGAGUGAUGAAGGUCUUCGGAUCGUAAAACUCUGUUAUUAGGGAAGAACAAAUGUGUAAGUAACUAUGCACGUCUUGACGGUACCUAAUCAGAAAGCCACGGCUAACUACGUG